rnacentral:rRNA from 1 species
UGUUUCCUAAAACUUACUACUANNUAUUGUUUUAUUUAAAUCCCCUGUUUAUAUAUAGAUUUAACUCAAAAUAGAGCCNAAGCCAGAUUCAAACUUUCCCUAA